CAUGCCGUAAACGAUGAUUACUAGGUGUGGGUGGUCUGACCCCAUCCGUGCCGGAGUUAACACAAUAAGUAAUCCACCUGGGGAGUACGACCGCAAGGUUGAAACUCAAAGGAAUUGACGGGGGCCCGCACAAGCAGUGGAGUAUGUGGUUUAAUUCGAAGCAACGCGAAGAACCUUACCAGGUCUUGACAUCUGCCGGACCCCGCAGAGAUGCGGGGGUGCCCUUCGGGGAACGGUAAGACAGGUGG
rnacentral:rRNA from 1 species